rnacentral:snoRNA from 1 species
CUGCGAUGAUGGCAUUUCUUAGGAUACCUUUGGAUUAAUAAUGAAAACAAAUACUCUCUGAGCAGC